ACUGAAGGAGGGCGAGUGUAGUAGUAGUAGUACAGGUACGAGCCGGGAGAGUGAGAGAGAGAAAACUAUACACGGCAGAUCUUGCUGGAGAUACCUGCGUUACAGGUGGUCUAACCGAGAGCUCUCGUCGUCGGUUUUUGUGGGUUGAUUGCCGCACCGAGUACCAGCGGCAACUGUGUACAUAUAAGCUGCAAUAUUCCCGGCUCUCUCGCCAGUUGUGUUUCCCAAAUCCGUGUGGACGCUGUGAUUCAGCGUCGUCAUCUCUGCGCCCCCAUGUCAAUCCUCUUCGACUUUGAUCGUCUUUUUGUGUGACGUUUUCUUGUUUGGCCAGUCGAAACAUUUUUCAAAAGCGUUUGCUCGAUUUCUUAAUUUCUUUUAAUUUCUUUUUGUUUGUUUUUUUAGAAGUUUCUGUUGACUUUAUUUGGGCAUUUUGAUUUCCUGCUUGGUCAGCCAGUUAAUCAAAUCAAACGCUUCUGAUUAUUCAUUCAGGGUGGAGCUCAUGUUUUCACUUCAAAUUUUUGCAAUUACCGAUCGCUGUGGCUUUAAUCUGUUAACUCUUUCAUCUCCCACUGAGUUUCGAAGAAAACAGCCGCUAUGAUCGACCCCAGUGGAAAAUCAGCGCUCGUGGCACCUACGACGGUCUCGAGAUAAAAACAACAUUUUGAUUUUCAUGGCUCUACUUUUAUAAGAGCUCGUCAGAGAGAAAAAAAAUUACCUCCAUUUCGCCCACCGCAAGUGAAAAUGUCAUUUGAAAAAAAAAAACAGUGGAAUCGACUCCUUUUCAGGAAACCAGAUUUAUUUUCUUAUUUUAUUUUAUAUUGAUGAUUGCUCUGUGGUGGUGGUAAGUAGAUGCAGUCACGGUGAAAUCAUAUUUUUUUUUUUUGAUUUUUUAUUUCUGGCGUUGAGAGCCAACGUUAUUUUUACCUUUACACGUCUGCUUUCAACCGUUUCAUUUUCUCGACGGAUGGACGGGCGGGCGGGUGAAAUCUUGACGGCUACGAGAUUGAUUCCAACGCGCGAGUCAGCCAGUUAUUUUUUUCUUUUUCCCCCCACCAACUUUUUUUAUUUCGUCUUGGAGAUUGUUUUCUUUAUUUCUUCUUGUUUCUCUUCUUCUGGGAGGAGGAGGGAGUUAACGAACUCUCUUUUUGAUCGAACGUGUGUGUGUGUGUGUGGAUGCACGAAAACAGGAAAACCCGUUUUUUUGUGUGUUUUCUCUCUUUUUUAGACAUUUUUUAACAACUAUGUAAAUCUCGAGGAAUCAUCGAAAAAUCCCAAGUCAUCAUCGUAUGUAUAGCCCAGCAUCCAGUCGACACGUAUGCACAUCGUUUGCAGACCAGUCCAAAUGCAUACGUAAUUUAUUUGUAUUCCCCCAACAAACAAACAAACAAAGCCUGCCAGUACCGAUACCCUGUAGCUCCGGGCUUUUGUUUGGUUUCUAAUAAUCAGAAGCUCGUUUCUACAGGUAUCUUACGGGUAACGAAAAAAUGAAAGAUUUUUGGUUUUUCAAUAAUCUAUCGGCUACAUCAUCAUUUUCCGUCAACGGAGCGUCCGUCAUAUUAUUUCUCUUUUUGCCUUUUCGAUGUAUAUAUGCGCGCGCUCCCAUCAUCAUCAUUAUAGUCAUCACCGGUUUGAUUGCUUGGCUUACGUGCCUCUCCCAAACAAAAAUUGUCUAGGGGAAGAAAAAAAAAAGAACCUUGAGGGGGGGAAGACCUUUCUCGUCAUUUGUUAUUGUGAUUCUUUUGAAUGAAUUUCGAAUGGAAUUAUUUUUCUGUGUAUGCCUUGUAUGUAUAUAUAUCCGCAUGUGUGUGUGUGUAUACCUAGUAGUAUAAAUACCUGGACAAGCCACAGAGAAACAGCUGUUUUUAAAAACAAACGCUGUUUGCUGGGUGGUUGUUGUUGUUGUUUCGCUCAUUCUUUUUAUUUAUUUUUUUUCGUGACGUUUCUAGAAAACAAUGGCAAGCCAGUCACUGGUGAUACGAACAUAAUAGGGAUCAUGGAAAAACUCGUGCUGGGUUGCAAUGUCUAUGUGUGUAUACGUUGCUGCUUUUGUAACAUUCGCGAAAAAGAAGAGAUGAAGGCGGAUGUAAAAAUAGAAAAUGCACCUUUCUCUCUCUUUUCUUUUUUGUCUUCUCCAUCUCUCAUCCAUCCAUCACUAUCCAUCAUCCGAGGAGAAGCUAACGGGACCAGAUUUUUAAUGGGCGAAGGGAAAACCAAAAAAAGAAGAAACAUUUUUUGUUCAUUCGUCUUUUUCAUUCGAACGCAAUUGUCUAUUCAAGCCGAACGCAGUCCUUGUGAUAAGAGAGCGCGGCAGAUAUACAAGAAAGACGGAGAAAUCCAAGACCCCAACAAACAAACAACAUCAAACCAAAAUGGAAAGAAAGAAAAAAAGAAAAAAAAAAAGAUAAUGAUAACCCACGGAUGGAGUCUGAACACGCUAGUAAUGGAUUACAGUACCGGUAACCAGUAUUAUUCCCGGCAUGCUAUAAUAUAACAGAGCUAGUGUUCACCACCUUUUUAUUUCCCCUCCUGAAUUCUAUUAUAUUUAGAACGCCCCGAGCUAUUUCGUGACUUUGCCAUGAAACAAAAACAAGAAAAAAUAUCUCGA
rnacentral:lncRNA from 1 species